rnacentral:lncRNA from 1 species
CAUCGAUGAGGGCGAGCAGUAGCAGCACCCAGCAAGACGCACUCCAGCAUCAGAGACGGCAAGUUUGUGAGUUUGACGUGUUUCAAUGAAUUAAAGCCGAAUGAUUCGCCAGCAGAAGCAGAGAAGCUUCCAUGAGCGUUAACAUUGAGUGUGUGAGUUUGUUGUCCUUAAUUACAGUCCUUUUAUUUUCUUCAUCAAUACUUGUGUUUUUUUUUCCCCUUUAGUUAUAUCACUUUAGCAAGUACCCACUUCCAGUGAUUUAAUCUAGAACUUUUGACCUUAUAGCCUUUUAAUUUUAUUUCGAUAUAGCAAUCUAAUUGUUGAGUAACUUGAAACAACUAAAAAUUCCUAAUUGAUCUUUAUGAUAGAAACACAAGAUAUUAUAUGCUGACACAAUAUUUAAAGGAGCUAUAGCUACAACUUGCUUAUAUAAUGUGGAAAAUUAUAUAUGAAGUUUAAUAUUUCAAUACAUUAAUGAAUCAAUCACAUUACCCUACUUCUUAUUGAUUCUUUUAAGAGUUUCAAAAUGCAAAAUAAUCUCUUGUUAUCUCUAACUAAAGAAUAUAGUCACAAACUGAUGAUGCAUAUUUUCUUUAGUAAGUUACACAGAACAAGUAAAGUAUGUGUUAAUUCUAAUUCACAGAUGUAAUGUGAUUUAGUUGGUGAAUGUAGUCUUGGAAUUAAGUUAAAACUCUCAAAUUAGACGUAUAAAAUUGUUAAGUUCUUCAAAUAAUUUAAAAUAUGUAAUAAGAUUUAGUUGGUGAAUAUAGUGUUGGAAUUAAGUUAAAACUAAACUAAUUAGACUUAUAAAAAUGUUAAGUUCUUUCAAAUAAGUUAAAAUAUGUAAUAUGAUUUAGUUGGUUAAUAAAUUAUUGGAAUUAAGUUAAAACUAAACUAAUUAGACUUAGAAAGUUGUUAGGAUGUUAAAUAAGUUAAAUUGGUGAAUAUAGUGUUGGAAUUAACUUAAUACUAAACUAAUUAGACUUAGAAAGUUGUUAAGUUGUUUAAUAAUUUAAAUUGGUGAAUAUAUUAUUGGAAUUAAGCUAAAACUAAACUAAUUAGAAUUAGAAAGUUGUUAAGUUGUUUAAUAAGUUAAAUUGGUGAAUAUAGUCUUGGAAUUAAGUUAAAACUAAAAUAAUUAGACUUAGAAAGUUGUCAAGUUGGUUAAUAAGUUAAAUCGGUGAAUAUAUUAUUGGAAUUAAGUUAAAAACUAAACUAAUUAGACUUAGAAAGUUGUUAAGUUGUUUAAUAAGUUAAAUUGAUGAAUAAAGUGUAAGAACUAAGUUAAAACUAAACAAAUUAAUUAGAUUCAGAAAGUUGUUAAGUUCUUCAAAUAAGCUAAUGUGAUUUAGUUGGUUAAUAUAGUGUUGAAAUUAAGUUAAAACUAAACUAAUUAGACUUAGAAAGUUGUAAGUUCUUCAAAUAAGUUAAUAUCAUUUACUUGGUUAAUACAGUGUUGGAAUUAAGUUAAAACUAAACUUAAUAGACUUAGAAAAUUGUUAAGUUCUUCAAAAGUUAAUGUGAUUUAGUUUGUUAAUAUAGUGUUAGAAUUAAGUUAAAACUAAACUGAUUAGACUUAGAAAGUUGAUAAGUUCUUCAAAUAAGUUAAUGUGAUUUAGUUGGUUAAUAUACUGUUGGAAUUAAGUUAAAACUAAACUAAUUAGACUUAAAAAGUUGUUAAGUUCUUCAAAUAAGAAAUGUACUUAGUUGGUUAAUAUAGUGUUGGAAUUAAGUUAAAGAAAGCAGAGAAUAAGAGGUAUGUAGCGCUUCAAGCCCAACUAACUUUUCUUUUUGAAUCAGGAAAUAUUCUUCCUCCAUGUCCGGCAAGCAGUGGUGAUGGAGCUGAUGAUGAGAAUGAUAAGGGUGAUAAGGAGAGUGAGGAUGAUAAAGAGUAGUUGUAUUGGUUUGACAUUUUAGACUUCUAUAUUUUUAGAAUUGUUUGAUCGUAAUUUAGUUUAUUUUGAAGGUUUAUUUCAAAAUAGUUUUGUGUAUACGUUGAAAAUAUUGUGUUGUUUUGAUUGGAUGAAGUUUAUUUAAAAAAAGCUCAUUCGACAUUCUUUGGGUUGGAUGAAGAUUAUUUUGAAAUAGCUUAAAGCUUAUUUGGAACUCUUUGGGUUGUUUUGAUAUAAAUAAGCAGGUGGGAUACUAAAAUUGCAGCUCAAUGCUGCCAGUUUUGUAACAAAAAUACCAACCUCCGGAGGUCGGAAUCUCAAAAAUAAGAAAUAAAAAUGCCAACCUCCAGAGGUCGAAAUCUCAAAAUAAGAAAUAAAAAUACCGACCUCUAGAGGUGGGAAUCUAAAAGAUAAGAAAUAAAAAUACCGACCUUCGGAUGUCGGAAUCUCAACAAUAAAAAGAAAUAAAAAUACCAACCUCAGGAGGUCGGAAUCUAAAAAAUAAGAAAUAAAAAUAUCGACCUUCGGAGGUCAGAAUUUAAAAAGAAAUAAAUGAAAAUAUUGAGCUCCGGAGGUCGAAAUCUCAAAAAUAAUAAAUAAAAAUACCAACUUUCGGAUGUUGCAAUCUCAAAAAUAAGAAAUAAAAAUACCGACCUCCGGAGGUUGGUAUUCCAAAAUUUGAGAAUUACAUUUUCUGAUCUCCAGAAAAUGAAAAUAAAAAAAUAAAAUAAUUAAAAAAAUAUAUAAAAGUGACCUCCAAAAGUCGGAAAAUGAAAUAAUGAAUUUACCAAGUUAAAUUGAAAUUGAAA